rnacentral:lncRNA from 1 species
GCUGUUUUCCUUAUAGUUGCCUCUCACCUUCUCAGCGGCUGUGCGUGCACUCAUCUCUUGCAGUCACAUCACUUCGCCUUCCCACUCAUCUGCUCUGUGCCCUGGCUGCAGUGGUGCAGGGAAGCUUGAAAGGAAAGCACAAUGAAGAGCAGUUUUUGUUUGCCUGUCUGGUCUGCUGCAUGCCACACCUGGAAGGCCCAGCACAUUUCAAAUGUAUGUUUAAAGCUGAACGAAGUGCUGAUUUUCUGUCCACCUUUAUGAAUCAGUUCAACAUUAAAAGCCUGAUUCCUCCAAAGACCAAGCUCCUUAUGUCUGUGUAUGAUCUUAACCUCCUUGCAGCUAUACCCACAUCUAGAAUAGGGAAAGCUGUGCGGAAAGAAAACCAACUGGCCAACUGCUGAACUUCAUUCCACAUGCCAGAUCUCCAGAAUAACUGCACAGGAAGACUUCAGUUCUUCAGCAAGUUAUGGCCAACAGGGGAAUGAAGAUGACAACGUGCUUCUGGAGCACUGUGAAUGAGCA